UUUUCUUUGCAAUUUUUAUUUUCUUUUCCAGUCAAUCUUUCAGCACUUAAUUAAUUUUUCACACAAUAGUUUCUACACCGGAAACUAUUGUGUAUCUUUUACCGGAUCUAACCUUACGUUAGACCCUAGGUUUUUUAUUCCUUCACUUUUAUUUUCCUGUCCGAUUGAAGAAUUCAAGAACAAAUCCAACCGGUCUGUGGUGG
rnacentral:lncRNA from 1 species